rnacentral:rRNA from 1 species
GACGUGACUUCAGAGUUUGAUCCUGGCUCAGGAUAAACGCUGGCGGCGUGCAUAACACAUGCAAGUCGAACGAUGAAGAUUAAAGAUUUCUUCGGAAUGACUUAAUUGGAUUAGUGGCGGACGGGUGAGUAACGCGUGAGUAACCUGCCUUGUACAAGGGGAUAGCCGUUGGAAACGAUGAAUAAUACCCUAUAACAUCAAAUAAUCGCAUGAUAAUUUGAUCAAAGAUUUAUCGGUAUAAGAUGGACUCGCGUCUGAUUAGCUAGUUGGUGGGGUAACUGCUCACCAAGGCAACGAUCAGUAGCCGGCUUGAGAGAGUGUACGGCCACAUUGGGACUGAGACACGGCCCAG